rnacentral:rRNA from 1 species
UACGGAGGGGGCUAGCGUUGUUCGGAAUUACUGGGCGUAAAGCGCGCGUAGGCGGUGAUCUUUGUCAGAGGUGAAAGCCCGGGGCUCAACUCCGGAAUUGCCUUUGAAACGGGAUUGCUUGAGUCCGAGAGAGGAUGGCGGAAUUCCUAGUGUAGAGGUGAAAUUCGUAGAUAUCGGGAGGAACACCAGUGGCGAAGGCGGAGAUCUGGGGAGAUAUUGACGCUGAGGUGCGAAAGCGUGGGGAGCAAACAGG